UUGAUGGGUUGGGUCAAAAACUGCCACCCCUACCCAAAUCUCUCUCAAAUCUGAGCACGAAACCGGAGAUCUCCGCUCCCCCCGUCCUCGCCCCAAAUCUGAGCCGCCGCGAGAUCCCUCAGACCAAGCCCUCUUCAUUUUCCUCUGAGCCGCUGCGAGUCCCCUUUGAGCCUCCCCGAGUUCCCUCUAUGCGCUGCCAGUUGUUCCCCGCGAGUCCCCUCUGAGCCGCCGUGAAUCCCCUCUGAGCCGUCGCGAGUCCAAAUUAUUUCUUUCUUCACCGCUGUUUAUAUCGCGAGACAUCCGACUCUGGCAUCAGGCUUCGAUUCUACCACCGGAACUCGAUUCGGAGCUGUGGAUCAUGGAGUCAUCUUCAAGUAAUUGUCAUGGAUUGUUGUGCCAUUGUGGAAGGAGGGCUAUACUAUCCAGAUCUGGAACUAAGACGAACCCUGGUCGAUUGUUUUUGGGAUGCGCUAAUUGAAAAGUGAGUAAUUGUGGAUUCUUCAAAUGGGUAUCUGAUGAAGAAGAGUUUGAAGGUUCAAAGGCAGAGCUUGUUCAGACGAAGCAGUCAAGCGUGGCGCCGCAAGUUUCAAGAGCCGUGUCAAGUGGAGAAGUGUGGGAAAAGAGAAAGAUUGAGAUUGAUAUUAUGGAUUUGUUGAAGCUUGUUAUAUUUGCUCUUUUAUUGGUAUUUUUCUAGAAUUUGUAUUUGGUAUUUUUUUGGAUUUGUGCUAAGUAGGGUGUAAGAAUGUAUUAUAGGAUUUGUUGAAGUGUAUGUUCUCUGCAUGUUCUUACA